rnacentral:rRNA from 1 species
UACAGAGGGUGCAAGCGUUAAUCGGAAUUACUGGGCGUAAAGCGUGCGCAGACGGUUGCGUAAGUCAGAUGUGAAAGCCCCGGGCUCAACCUGGGAAUUGCAUUUGAGACUGCGUAGCUAGGGUGCGGAAGAGGGAAGCGGAAUUUCCGGUGUAGCGGUGAAAUGCGUAGAUAUCGGAAGGAACACCAGUGGCGAAAGCGGCUUCCUGGUCCAGCACCGACGUUCAGGCACGAAAGCGUGGGGAGCGAACAGG